rnacentral:rRNA from 1 species
GACGUAGGGCGCGAGCGUUGUCCGGAUUUAUUGGGCGUAAAGAGCUCGUAGGCGGCUUGUCGCGUCGACUGUGAAAUCUCAGGGCUCAACUCUGACAUUGCAGUCGAUACGGGCAGGCUAGAGUUCGGUAGGGGAGACUGGAAUUCCUGGUGUAGCGGUGAAAUGUGCAGAUAUCAGGAGGAACACCGGUGGCGAAGGCGGGUCUCUGGGCCGAUACUGACGCUGAGGAGCGAAAAGCGUGGGGAGCGAACAGG